UGUUUGAGAGACUGUAAGAAUUAGGAAAAUGGGGAGAUAAUUUCUCUAAAGGGAAGCAUAAUCUAUUUGCUUAAUGAUCCUAUGAGGAACUAAUAAGUAUCAUCCCUCUUAGAAAUAAUAAUACUUUGCUUGUAUGUAGAAUAUUUCUCCAAGGGGCAUAAAGUAUAUUAUAGAUACUAUCUAAUUAAGCUUCCUAGGGUCCCCAGGUGGAAGGGAGGUGGCAGGUAUUAUGAAGGUUCAUCAGCACCAUCGACGUGUCUCAGGUGAGGAAAUGGAGCUAUAUAAAGCUUGGCAAAAAGGGUACACGCCUAGUAAUUUAGGCUAGGUCUGCCUGACCUCAAAGCACCUCAUCAACUCAUUGAAAAAAAGAAUCAAUCGAGUUUGAUACUGUUGCCCAAUGAACAACAAGACAGGACAGUCUGACCACAUGCUUUGCCCUUCCCCCUGGUGUGCUCAUGUGGCAUGAGCUUUAAGGAGGCUGCCAAUGACAGAGGCUGCAUUUCCUGACUUUUAGCCUAGUGGUCUCUGCAGAAGGCAAACUCGGAUAGAACUGAUGGUGUGGAUAACUUGGAUUUUCUAUGUGCUGCUUGACACACUACCCUCAAAUAGCACACCAGCUAUGAGGCUCUGGUUUUGUUUCUCAUCGUGCUCGUAAGUUUGGUUGACUAAGCUGAUGUCCACAGCCCUCUACAGUGUGGCCGUCUGUAUGUGUAUGGCAUAUGGUGGCAUUGGUAAGAAAGGGUCCAGGAGAUGGAUUAUCUGUUUGGUAUUCCCUAUCUAUUCAAUUGGUAGGAAUUGUGCCAUAACUUUCCAUCUCUUAUAUCAGGAGAGACCUAAUCCUGGGAGUCCUGAGAGAAGACAUAUUUGCCCUGCUGUCUUAAGGACAGCUUUAUGUCAUUUUUAAACAUUCUGAGGGCAGAAUUCAGCUUCACAUUGUUGUAUCUAUUGAGAUAGAAGCUCUACCAGCAUAUUGAUCAAUAACUGAUGAACCGAAGUGGGUGUUUCUGCAAGGAGUGAGCAAACCUGAAAAUAACAGCCUGGGUAGCAAUUCCUAAACUUCAAACUCCUUCUAGUGCCAAGUUCUCUGGGGAAUUAGGACUCAGCUAAAAUCACUUUCUGAAAAGGAGAAAUCCCCAAGAGAAAAUUCAGUCAAAUUAAUAAACCAGUUGCCUCUGAUGUGAACUACAUUUUUUGACAUGUUGCAGUAAUAGUUUCUGAUUCUUCCCUAGCUCAGAGAAGUUGUUACUUGUUGUGUUUAUUAAGACAUUAAUAAUGUCAUUCAUUUAGCAAAUGGAGGUAUAUGGUGUAUUCUCAGCAAAGAUAUUACUUUGCUCAAACUUGGAACUUAAUAGGCUGGUCAGAUGGUCCCUGGGGUCUAUGGGUCUUGAUUUGCUAGGACAGAGGUGGGCAUUUGCUGAAGUAUCUCUGAGUGGUUUACUACUAGCUAUUGCAAAGAUAAGACCUCUCCUUCAAUUCUUCAAUUAACUCUCUGACUCUAGUUUGCCCCUCAGAAAGCAAGCAUAAUUUCCUCGAAGCAUCCAUGAGCUUCCGUUUCUUAAAGUGACCCUUGUGUCCCCAAGACCACCUUUUUUUUUUUUUUUUUCUUCUCACUUGCACAUAAAUCCUCUAUAAUUAUUCUCCUUGGCUCCUUCCUCCCCAACAAAUUUUCUCUUCCUUCGCUGAGUGCCCCUAGGCCCUCACUUUGUGCCCAGUUCUUAGUUUGUACACUGGCCAUUCUCCAGCCUGCAAUAUCACUCUAUCCCUUUGAGUCAAGCCUUUCCCUUUCUGGACACUGGGGACCCACCCCAAUGUCUCCCAGAUCUGCUCCUUAUCCUGAUCAUCCCAGGAACUCUGUAAGAUUUACAUAAAGCAAAUAGCAUACAUAGUUGAUUUCAUGUUUGUCACCCACUGCAAUACAAGUUUAUGGAUGUUUGCUCAACCCACUCCUUCCAGAAAAACUCCUGACUCCUUGGACUGAGGCUUAAAGUUUAGGCCUCUUGUGGGGAGAGGGUAUCAAUGGGAUCCUUGAAACUUCCCCACAGCACUCUGGCCACAGAGGGUCCUUCAUGUAAUUUGUGUUUCCUGCUCAGUUGGAACUUUCCUAGGCACUUAUACCUUCUUUUAUUUAUUUUAUUUUUAAUUUUGUUGGUUUAUUUAUUUACUUAGUCUUUUUAGGGCCGCACCCACAGCAUAUGGAGGUUCCCAGGCUAGGGGUCGAAUUGGGGCUACAACGGCUGGCCAAUGCCACAGCCACAGCAAUGCCAGAUCCAAGCCAUGUCUGAGUCCUACACCACAGCUCGUGGCAAUGCCGGAUCCUUAACCCACUGAGUGAGGCCAGGGAUCAAACCUUCGUCCUCAUGGAUACUUGUCAGAUUCGUUUCCACUGAGCUACGACGGGAACUCUCCACCUUCUUUUAAAAAUCCAAAUGUCACCAACUGUUCAUGCAAGUGGUAUUCCAUUGUGGCUUAGCAUUAGAAUUUGAGCUUCUUUGUCAUUUUAUGCCUGUGUGUGUCCCAAGGUGGGUGGGAGAAACACAUAGAAAUAGCUUCUAUUACAUAAAGGGCCAGGAAGGAAUUUUCCAUACUAUUUGUACAAAAAUUCUUUCUCUCAGCUCCCCAGACUCACCAUAGAAAUUCUGACAUCUUCCCCUCCCUCUCAGCCCCCUCCCCGUUCCCAGGGUAUAGCAGCAACACUGUGGCUAAGUCUGUUUGGUAUUAGAGUUAGAAUUAUUUAUGUCUUACAGCCUGUGCUUGUUUAUGCAGUAGAGUUCUGAGAAGGAAGUGAAUCAGGAGAUCUGUCUCCUAACAGGGCAUCCAGGGGUCGGGCUGAAAACAAGUGCUGAUGAUAAGGUAAAACCCCACGCUGUACAGUCAGCUUCACGGCAGACCUUGAACAACACAGAACAGGCAGAAAAGGCCUUGAUGUGGUGUCAGUGCAGCCGGCGGAGGGUGUGUGAGCAGGUAGACAGGAGUAACUCUAAGGCGUUCCUGAAAGUCCAUGAGGAUGGAAAGAAUCACAGGGGCUGUUAAGAAACUACUGAGCUGCAGCCCCUUUCUUGACGCCUUCCCACCCCCAAACUCCCUUCAGAAAGAUUAGUGGUGGGAUUCUACAGUAUCACAUACCCUAACCUUUCCUCCCCUAGCUUGAAUCACAUGUAAACUCCUCUUUGAACUAAGUGUAUUUAAGUUUUUUUUAAUUUUAUUCAUUAUUUUAAUUUUUUUAUUAAAGUAGUUGAUUUAUAAUGUUUCUUCCAUUUCUGUUGUACAGCAAAAUGACCCAUACACACAGUUCCCUGUUCUGUACAGCAGGGCAUUGCCCCUCCAUUCCAAAUCUAACAGUUUGCAUCUAAAAACCCCACACAGCCUGUCCCUCUCAAUCUCACUCCCCCAGAACCACAAGUCUGCCCUCCUUGGCCGUGAUCUGUUUCUGUUUUGUAGAUAGGAUCAUCUGUGCCAUAUUUUAGAUUCCACAAGUAAGUGCUAUCAUAUGGUAUUUGUCUCUUUCUUUCUGGCUUACUUCACUUAGUAUGAGAAUCUCUAGUUCCAUCUGUGUUGCUGCAAAUGGCACUAGUUUAUCUUUUUUAUGGCUGAGUAGUAUUCCAAAAGAUCUCAUUUACUCCCACCACACGGAGAAACCAUUAUUACUACUCUCACUUUCCCUGAUGAAGAAAUUCAGAGAGGCAAAGUAACCUCCUAAAAUCUCAUGGCUAUUAAGUAACAGGCUGGGGAUUCAAACUCAGGCCUGUUUAUUCUAAAACCCAUCACUUUCCUUUAGCUGACCCUGCCUUCCACCUGAUGCAAGUAAGUCCAUGGCCCCAUCCAGGUGGGGGCCUGAAGGUUUUUGACGUGGAGGGAAGAAAUAGUCAAAUAUCAAGUGUUCGGUGAAUCAGAGGUUUUAACCUUGAUUUUAUUGUCUCAGGAACAAACACUUUGGGGUUGGAGGUUUGGUAAGAUGGAGACCAGAUUCUAAGUCAGGCUCUGCCAAUUUUGGACAAAGUCUCUCUCUCUCCUUUUUUUUUUAAGAGCCACACUCUUGGCAUGUGAAAAUUCCCAGGCUAGGGGCUGAAUCAGAGCUGCAGCUGCCGGCCUAUGCCACAGCCACAGUAAUACGGGAUCCGAACUGUGUCUGAGACCUACACCAGAGCUCACAGCAAUGCCGGAUCCUUAACCUGCUGAGUGAGGCCAGGGUUCAAACCCUCAUCCUCAUGGGUACUAGUCGGGUUUGUUACCACUGAGUUACAACGGGAACUCCCAAAGCCUCUCUUUUAAUUUGCACUUGGACUUGGAGAGAAGGAUUCUUUCUUACCCUAAGAAUGAUCUAUACCGAACAACAGAAGAGAAAACCUUCCACUAUAACUGUGUGGGCAGAUUGUAGAUAGAUCUCCAUCUAGGACAUGGUCUAAGAGACAUGAACCAAGGCAAGAACUGUGAGAUGAGGAGUUGCUUGCUAAUGGCUGGGUGGCCUUCACUUUGGCAUGUUUUCUCACAUUUUCGUUGUUCUGGCCCAGGUCCUCCCCGCCCUGCCCACUGGCAGUGAGAUGAGUAGGAUGAGUACACAAUGCCAGAUCCCUAACCCACUGAGUGAGGCCAGGGAUCAAACCUGCAUCCUCAUGGACUGCCAUGUCGAUUGUUAACCUGCUGAGCCACAACAGGAACUCAAAGCAGGGCUCUUUUCACUGCACUGGUCCCAGGCCACAGAAGAGGGAAGGCAGGCCCUGCAUGAGGAACCCCAGCCAAAUGUUGCCCCUCUAUGCUCUAGGGCACAAACGCAGUCAGGACCUGCAGUCUCUAUGGCAGAAAGGGGUGUCAUGGAUAAGUCCUCUGGCUCCAUCACUUAGAGGUGGGAAAGCCAGGCAAUGCCAAAGGGAGCCCCCUUCUUAACUGGCCCCACUGCUAGGAAGUGGUAAACUGAGCCUAUAAUGCCAGGUUCCUUCUAGCCCAUGGUGCCAGGGCUCCUCUAGCCUCACUCUUCCCCUGCAGCCCGAUUUAGGCAAAUUGAUCCUGGUGUAUAGAGGCAUUACCUCUCUAAUGUCUCAUUAUGAUGGGUCCCUCCUGUCCCUCCUAUGUGCAGCUCCCAACACAGCCCUCAAGGCCAUGUAUAUCUCUCAUUUCACCUGGAAUUAGUCCUGAAUGUACAUUUCUCACUCCUACUUCUAAAUGCAUAAUUUCACAUGCCUGGGACUCCAUUUCCGUCUCUCUUCACUGCCAACUUCUUUUGCCCAAAUCGCUGCUAGCAUAGAGCAGGUAAUCAAUAUAUAUUUAUUAAAUAAAUGAAUGUAUAACGAAUAAAUGUCAGAAAGUUGCCUAUAGGACUCAAGAAGAGGGACAGCCUGAGGCAGUGGCUAAUUAGAAGCCAAAAGGAAUAAGGGGUAAUAUAAGGUGACUCUUCUUCCUAUUACCAAGCCCUGCCUUCCCUAAACACACAGGCCAUGAACCGGAAGGGUUUAUUUUUAGGGAGCUAUUCUAUAGUUGAAGAGGAAGCUAGACUGAAGGCUGCCCAUCAAAGAAGCAGCCCUAAUGGGGAAUGUGGUUCCGUUUGCAUUCAUUCCAUGUUCCCUCUCACUGCUGUUUGACCCUACUCUCUCCUCUGGUCCUGAUACCCACCUGCUAGUUCAGAGACCAUGGGGACACAACACCUGCUUUAGGGCAGAUGGUUCCACCUCAGAUUAGUCCUCUGCAUUUUUCAAAAGAGUUUAGCAACAUAGUUUUGCAUCCAUGCCCCACUAGAAAAAUCCAAAAUUUCAAACACCUUACUGGAACAAAUUACAUGACAAUAAAAUACCAAAUUCCUUAGCCUUCCCACGCUCACUCUCAAAGUACUAUAAAUUACAGUAGGGUAGUUUUAAUUCUCUUUUUUUCCCCUGCAAUAGUACAAUACAACUAUUUUGUGAUAGGAAAUCUAAUAAUAGGUAGUUUUUUUUGUUUUUUUUUUUUUGUCUUUUGGGAGUAAAAUCUGAAACAUCAAUGACAGCAUAUUCUUCUUCUGUAAAUACUAGAAGUGAUGUCUGUUAGAAAAAGUGGCUCUUGUUUUCCAAUGGAACUCAUGCUCUAAAUAGGACAUGUUGAAAACAUCAUCAUAUUGGUUUAGGGAGGAAGACAUACUCCAGAGGUGACACACAGGUGGCUCCCUACAUGUUCUGUUUGGAUUAUAAACAGCUGUUUAGAACUUUUCAAGCAGUGAAUUAUAUCCCAAUUUUUUUUAGUUGACAUUUUAAAAAUUAUAGAUGAUUUACAAUGUUGUGCCAAUUUCUGCUGUAUAUCAAAGUGACCACGCAUUCCCUUUCUUAUGUUAUCUUUUAUCAUGGUCUAUUCUAAGAGACUGGAUAUAGUUCCCUGUGCUAUAUGGUAGGACCUCAUUGCUUAUA
ensembl:lncRNA